rnacentral:rRNA from 1 species
UACGUAGGGGGCAAGCGUUGUCCGGAUUUAUUGGGCGUAAAGAGCGUGUAGGCGGCUAGAUAGGUCCGUUGUGAAAACUCGAGGCUCAACCUCGAGACGUCGAUGGAAACCAUCUGGCUAGAGUCCGGAAGAGGAGAGUGGAAUUCCUGGUGUAGCGGUGAAAUGCGCAGAUAUCAGGAGGAACACCAGUGGCGAAGGCGGUGGUCUGGGCCGGAACUGACGCUGUAGAGCGAAAGCGUGGGGAGCGAACAGG